rnacentral:lncRNA from 1 species
GUGUAAAUUUUUCAUCGUGCACGAUAUGUAAACUACAGUCAAUGACAUAUGCAACCUGUCAUUUUUAUUGCAUAUAUAGAUACUUACGUGUAACCUUUUUCUGAUAAAUUGAUGUUGUUUUUCGAAGUGUAGUGUACAAGAGUUACUUGUAUCGAACUAUGGAACCAUUUUCUUUGUGAAUGUACUACUUUUUGACAUUUAUUGACUCAAUAGUAUGCUUAUGUUUGUUAUUUUGUAUUUUCAGUUUUUUACCCUCUCCGGAGGUCUAUACCAAUAAACAGUUGAACUCUCAACGACUUAUCAGUACAGU